rnacentral:misc_RNA from 1 species
AAGUCGUAACAAGGUUUCCGUAGGUGAACCUGCGGAAGGAUCAUUAACGAGUUAGGGUCUUCUAGGCCCGACCUCCCAACCCUAUGUUUAUUGAACCUCUGUUGCUUCGGCGGACCCGCCUCACGGCCGCCGGAGGACCGCUGCAAGGCGUCCUCUGGCCAGCGCCCGCCGAUGGCCAACCACUUAAACUCUGAAUAAAUCGUGUCAUAUGUCUAAGUCUAUGAUUAAAUUAAAGCAAAAACUUUCAACAACGGAUCUCUUGGUUCUG